rnacentral:rRNA from 1 species
AGUGAACGCUGGCGGUAGGCCUAACACAUGCAAGUCGGACGGCAGCACAGUAAGAGCUUGCUCUUACGGGUGGCGAGUGGCGGACGGGUGAGGAAUACAUCGGAAUCUACUUUUUCGUGGGGGAUAACGUAGGGAAACUUACGCUAAUACCGCAUACGACCUACGGGUGAAAGCAGGGGAUCUUCGGACCUUGCGCGAUUGAAUGAGCCGAUGUCGGAUUAGCUAGUUGGCGGGGUAAAGGCCCACCAAGGCGACGAUCCGUAGCUGGUCUGAGGGGAUGAACAGACACACUGGAAGUGAGACACGGUCCAGACUCCUGCGGGAGGCAGCAGUGGGGAAUAUUAGGCAAUGGGCGCAAGCCUGAUACAGCCAUACCGCGUGAGUGAAGAAGGACUUCGGGUUGUAAAGCCCUUUUGUUGGGAGAGAAAAGCAGCAGGUUAAUACCCCGCUGUUCUGACGGUACCCAAAGAAUAAGCACCGGCUAACUUCGUG